GACGUAGGGGGCCAGCGUUGUUCGGAAUUACUGGGUGUAAAGGGUUCGUAGGCGGUGUGGCAAGUCGGGAGUGAAAUCUCGGGGCUUAACUCCGAAACUGCAUUCGAUACUGCCGUGCUUGAGGACUGGAGAGGAGACUGGAAUUUACGGUGUAGCGGUGAAAUGCGUAGAUAUCGUAGGGAAGACCAGUGGCGAAGGCGGGUCUCUGGACAGUUCCUGACGCUGAGGCACGAAGGCCAGGGGAGCAAACGGG
rnacentral:rRNA from 1 species